AGCUUUCCCAUAUCCUCAAAACUGAUAACUUUGCUCUGGUGGUUCACAAUCAUAUGCAAUACGGGAUCGAUGGGUCGGCCCUCCAGAGGCAGAUUUUAUUUGCCGUCGUGACAUCGAUUGACCUUCUCUCCUACAUCACCACACACGAGGGGCAGGACUGCAACCAUCAAAGUCAGGCGGUGUAACCCAGUGACUGUGUCCUGUUUAAGGUGGAUUUUACUCUCUUUUCACUGAGACACAGCAAACAAUCACCUACAGUGUCAUCAAAAUUAUAAGAUAUACAGUCGCAGAGAGGACAGAGAAGUUGUAAUUAUAUUUAUAGCUGUUGUUGUUGUUGUUGGUUUUUGGGAUUUGUUGACAGUUGAAGCAAAAUAGAAAAUAACAUCUUUUUUUAACUUUAAUCCUUUCAGUGUUGUUACAAGUAAUCUGAGUGUAUUCACCUUGCAGCUUUAAAUGCUGUAUGAGGGACUUUACCAUCCUCUUUCUGGAGCUUUUUGACUCUUUUCUCCGACUUGUGCAAAAUGAAUUUGUUCCCUUCACCGUCAAUAAUGCAGCGACUGGCUUUGGUCUGAUAUCUACAUUUAAUCUUUGAAUGGUGGAAAGCAGGCCUACAGUCUCAUUUCUUACAGAAUAGUUCAGUGUUUAUAUUCUUUGCAUUUUACUCCUACUAUUAAAGACUUGAGCCAUACGUGUGGGGCCUUACAGAUUCUGGUUUGUUUUGCUUUUCUGUGACAUGUUUUAAUUAAUUUGCUGUAUUUCCUCUUAGCUAGCAGGUACCUAGAAACCUUCAAACCAGGUACCUGCAAACAGAAAGUGAUGAUAAAUUCAGCUCACUGUUUUACUAACUUGCUUGUUAAGCUUAUUUAUAAGCUUGUUGCACAAAAAAUGCUUUUACAGUGUAAUUAAAGUGAAUAAAGCUU